rnacentral:tRNA from 1 species
AGGGUUGUGACUCAGUGGUAGAGUGCUUGCCUUGUAUGCAUGGAGGCACUGGGUUUGAUCCUCAGCACCACAU